AUGCUCAGCUUUCAUCAGCAUCUUCUGGAAAGACGCGGCCCUGACUCCCUUAGCCAUGAUCUUGCCUGCUGUGAUUUCGGUUCCCACCAUCAACAGCAUUGCGUGGAAAACUGCAGAAGGAGCGUGAAUGGCCUUUCGGCAGAGCUAAGGGUGACCACAGAUGGGCGUCAGGAGGCAGGCGACAGAGCAUGGGCCCUGGGGCCCCGUCAGCCCUCUGAGCGCGGCCGUGCAGCUCCCGGCUCCCAGGGGCCCGCCUCGGCCUGUGCCGAAGAACAGGUUAGCCUUGCUUCCGGAGCCUCCCCGGGACCCCAGGGGCCCUGCUCAGCCCGGGGCAGGAGAGGUGUGUGGCCCGGGAGGCCUGGCCGCCCCCAUGACCAGGGUGUCCCUGAGGAGCAGGGAGGGCGGGAUGACAAGGGCUCUGCCAGUCCUCCCUGGGCUCUGUCCCUUCCUGUCCAGGCCUCUGCCACCAAGUGAGCUGUGUGACAGCAACCUCAUGACAGGGCCUCCUCUCUGCCAUCGCCGAGUACAGUGGGGAUGCAGGGCAGAGGGGAGCCGCCCGGGCCCUCCGCCUGCCUCACCGCACCCGGUUCUGAUCCUGCCGGGACCCUGGG
rnacentral:lncRNA from 1 species